CAAAAGAGGCCCGCCUUUCCCACUUCCCCCACUUCACAAAACAUUAACACCACACUUUUAUUCUUACUCCCAUUACCACCCACGACCUUCCACCCAUACACCACCAAAAAUCUCUCCAUAAAUCCCUAUAACUCCCUCACAACACAUCACCCAAAUCACCAAACAAGUACUCCCAUACAUAUAACCCUCUGUUCUCUAAGAAAUUUUGGUAUUUCUGUUUUUCUCGUACUUCUCAUUAACUUGUGUCAACAAGAUCAUCAUCAAAGGUAUGCCUCCGAACAACACCAUUCGAAGAAGUGAAGGAUCCCAACUAUCUGGACGGGCCCGUCAGGACAGAAAGACGAUCCAAACCUGACUGCGGGAUGAACCUUCUGACCAGGAGGAGGAGGAGGUCAUACCAGCAAAGAAGAAUAGGGGAGUUUCCACAUUCGUGGCCCGAAACACAACACCUUCAUCUGAUUCCUCCCCUUCUGAAGAUGAGGGAUCUUCCUCCUCCGACUCCGGUGAUGAGAAAAAGAGGGGAAUGAGGAGACAGAACAGGAAAGAAGCUCAGCCACAGAGAUUUCUACUACUCCUCCAAAUCCUCCGGCCCGUAGUGAAGAAGAGGUCAGGAGGUUGGAAGUAAGGAGUAAACAAUUGGACGAUGAUAGCCUGAGGUUUGGGGUCGAGGGAUCCAAAAAAUUAUUUGACCAAGGGAUAGCUCCAACAAAGAGAGAGGGAAAGCCACAAAGAAAUAUAUGGAAAGAAUAGCGGAUUGCUUUUGAGGGUCUGACCACCUGCCCUCGCACUAUUGAGGCACUCUGCCUUUAUCAGUUCAAGGUCUUUGGUAACCAUCCGGGAGACAAUUGUCCGAUUAUUGUGCGGGAAUUCUAUGCCUCGUAUAGGGCCACUUUAGCAUUGAUGAGACGACCGGGUCAGACCAUACAGCAGGUCCCAAUACAGAAUGCAAUUAUGGUUCACUAGACAUUAGCGGCAAAGCAAUCAAUAGAGUCUACUUUGCCAAUGAUUAUGAGGCACCAUCUAAUCAGAUCGAGUAUUUGGAUAAAUUAAAGGUGAGAAACAAUAUCUGUGAUGAAAUGGGUGGCUUCUCUACUAGCAAGGAAUGAUCCGCCUUGGUUGACAAAUCUAAAGGCCAAGAUUCUGAAAAGAACUGGGAGCCAAAUUUUGGUGGAGCACUGGGAGCCAAAUUUUGGUGGAGCUUGGUAAGGUACAGGUUUUGCCCCACACAGAAUGAUAAUACCCUCACUUCUGACCAGUCUGUGGUAGUUGCAACUUUGAUGUCGAGGAAUUUAGGGCGACUGAUAGUUGCGGAGAUCAGAGAGAGAGCAACACAGCAGACCACCUCCUUGAUGUUCCCGUGUCUAAUCACUUAAUGUGCAAAAACGUAGGUCUGUUGAGCAUUCAAAACCAUGAUCAUAGUGUUAAGGCUCACAUGUGGCUGAAUGGAGAAAAAGCAAGAAUGAUGGCGUUGAUGACACUUUAUUGGAGAUACCUACUGACGACACUCAGGCCGAGUCUAGUCUUGGGGCCACAGGGGAUACCACCAUAGAGGCACCUCCCACUGCUACUACCCCAGCUGCAACUGCUACUGCCCCAGCUACCACUGCUACUGCUCUAGUUACUGCUCCAGCUACUCGGAUCACUGUCCCAGCUACUGCUGCUGCUGCACCACCUGGCACUGCUGCACUGACUUCUUCGGCUGUUCCUCCACCUACAGUCCAGAGAGGGGCUAACCCCUUUGCAUUCAAUAGAGAAAACUUCUAAGAGAUGGCAAUCAAAGCAACGAAGGCUGAGAAGCAGGUUGGUAUUAUCAUGGAGCAGAUCCGAAAGUUUGUGGCAAAAGAGAUUAAGGUGGCCAUAGCACCGAUACAUGAAAUGAUUGAGAAGACUCAUGAGGUUAUCCAGACGAGACUUGAUGGGUUUGAAAUGAGAUUGGUUGCAUUAGAAUGGGCAGGACCCGGAGGUGAUAUAGGACCACUUCGGGAUGAGCUUGCUAGGUUGAAAUCUGAGGUACAAGCACUGAAAGCACGAGAUGAGGUUGUAUUGGAAGAUCCUGUUUUGAUGACCCAGGUUAAUUUUGAUGAUCUCAUUCAGGUCAAGAAUUUAAUAGAUGAGGAUGACUCCACAGUAUAGAAUAAGGGCAAAAGAAAGUGGGACGACAUGGAUCCAUCGGGUGAGGAUCCGGAGGAGGUGAAUCAGAGGUUGGGCUUAAUAGAGGAUGUGAGUUUGCAGGGGCCUGUGCAUGACUCUCUGCUUGACAGUUACCCUGAUCCAGCUAGUGCCUCAUCUAGUUGCCCACCAGUGGAGUCAAUGCUGCCCGGCCAGCCCAGCAUGCCGAUUGAGCCCAUUGUUCAUAAUGAUGCUAAGACAGUUACUACUGAGGCUGAUGCUACAAAUCCGAAUAUAGAGACUACAUAGUCUCAAGAUGAUCAGAGCGCCUAGUGAGCCUCAAGUAAUCGGAGGUUCGAAGGACAGAAACAAGGGAAUUGCAUAAACUGGCACACAAAGGUGGAGAAGUACUAACCGUACUUAUUUGUAUGGGCCGUACUCUUGGUAGUACUUAGAAGUGGCAAAAAACAUAAUCAAAAAAUUUGAAGAUGAGAUAUACGGCCGAUUUUUACGGACCGUAUCUAUUUAUAGGGACCGUAACUUGGCACGUACUUUCAAGAAUAGAACAAGUGAAGGAAGAUAGUUACGGACCGUACUGCUAAAUACGGUCCGUAUAAGUUGAUCGUGCAUCUUGACCUAGAGAAGGAGUUCAGUGACCCUAUUUUGAUAUACGGUCCAUACUUAAUUGUAUGGACCAUAUCUUAUGCCAUCAGGGACUAUUUUGCCAGUUUGUAAUUCUGCGUUUUUAGACCUUAUAAAUAGUUUGUCUUAGGGUUUUUUAUUUACCAUUCAUUGUCAGACUUUGCCUUUUGACUUGAGAGCAUUAAAUACUUUAUUGUUUUUGAAGCUUUUGAGACAGAAUACAAUUUUCUUCAUCUUCUUUAUUCAAUAA